AAGGGAGCGCAGGCGGUCAGGAAAGUCUGGAGUAAAAGGNUAUGGCUCAACCAUAGUGUGCUCUGGAAACUNUCUGACUUGAGUGCAGAAGGGGAGAGUGGAAUUCCAUGUGUAGCGGUGAAGUGCGUAGAUAUAUGGAGGAACNCCAGUGGCGAAAGCGGCUCUCUGGUCUGUCACUGACGCUGAGGCUCGAAAGCGUGGGUAGCGAACAGGAUUAGAUACCCUGGUAGUNCACGCCGUAAACGAUGAGUGCUAGGUGUUAGGCCCUUUCCGGGGCUUAGUGCCGGAGCUAACGCAAUAAGCACUCCGCCUGGGGAGUACGACCGCAAGGUUGAAACUCAAAGGAAUUGACGGGGGCCCGCACAAGCGGUGGAGCAUGUGGUUUAAUUCGAAGCAACGCGAAGAACCUUACCAGGUCUUGACAUCCCGAUGCUAUUCUUAGAGAUAGGAAGUUACUUCGGUACAUCGGAGACAGGUGGUGCAUGGUUGUCGUCAGCUCGUGUCGUGAGAUGUUGGGUUAAGUCCCGCAACGAGCGCAACCCUUAUUGUUAGUUGCCAUCAUUAAGUUGGGCACUCUAGCGAGACUGCCGGUAAUAAACCGGAGGAAGGUGGGGAUGACGUCAAAUCAUCAUGCCCCUUAUGACCUGGGCUACACACGUGCUACAAUGGUCGGUACAACGAGUUGCGAGCCGGUGACGGCAAGCUAAUCUCUGAAAGCCGAUCUCAGUUCGGAUUGGAGGCUGCAACUCGCCUCCAUGUAGUCGGAAUCGCUAGUAAUCGCGGAUCAGCACGCCGCGGUGAAUACGUUCCCGGGCCUUGUACACACCGCCCGUCACACCACGAGAGUUUGUAACACCCGAAGUCGGUGAGGUANCCUUUUAGGG
rnacentral:rRNA from 1 species